UACAGAGGGUGCAAGCGUUGUUCGGAAUUAUUGGGCGUAAAGCGUAUGUAGGCGGCCACCUAAGUCUGGUGUGAAAUCCCGGAGCUUAACUCCGGAAGUGCACUGGAUACUGGGAGGCUAGAGGGUGAGAGAGGAUAGUGGAAUUCCUGGUGUAGGGGUGAAAUCCGUAGAUAUCAGGAGGAACAUCAGUGGCGAAGGCGGCUAUCUGGCUCAUUUCUGACGCUGAGAUACGAAAGCGUGGGGAGCAAACAGG
rnacentral:rRNA from 1 species